GAUGAACGCUGGCGGCGUGCCUAAUACAUGCAAGUCGAGCGAACAGACGAGGAGCUUGCUCCUCUGACGUUAGCGGCGGACGGGUGAGUAACACGUGGAUAACCUACCUAUAAGACUGGGAUAACUUCGGGAAACCGGAGCUAAUACCGAAUAAUAUAUUGAACCGCAUGGUUCAAUAGUGAAAGACGGUUUUGCUGUCACUUAUAGAUGGAUCCGCGCCGCAUUAGCUAGUUGGUAAGGUAACGGCUUACCAAGGCAACGAUGCGUAGCCGACCUGAGAGGGUAAUCGGCCACAGCAGAACUGGGCCGCGGGCCAGACUCCGGCGGGAGGCAGGAGGAGGGAAUCUUCCGAAAGGGGCAAAAGCCGGAAGGACCAACGCCGGGGGGGAGAAAAAGGUCUUCGAAUCGUAAAACUCUUUUAUUGGGGAAAAAAAAAUGUGUAAUUACAUAUGCCCUUUUUGACGGGACCAAAUAAAAAAGCCACGGCUAACUACUG
rnacentral:rRNA from 1 species